rnacentral:lncRNA from 1 species
CUUUUACUUGUUCAAAUAACAAUUAAGGUGAAGCAGGGUCAAGAACAACGAAUCUCUUUAUGAUAAACAGAUCUAUUUUGCAAGUUCGUUAUUACGGGUAGUUCCUACAAAGGAUCGAACUAAUGACGUAUACAAUACUUGAAUUCUCGAUGUAGAUGCUACAUAGUUGGUUCUCAUCCUUCAGAGACUACGAGUGUAAUAAGAGCAUCCGUCGACAAAAGGAUCACCCUAAGAUGAUCAUCUCGUGGCUAUUGAGAACGAAUUAAAUCAGAUGGUUCUA